AUGCUGAAAGCUCUCAUGAGAUCUAUGCUACUGUUGCUCUGGAUUUUAGGUCAGGGUGAAGGGAGUGAUGUGAUGCAGAGCCCUGAAAUUCUCUGGACUCAACCAGGCAAAAAUGCUGAGAUGACCUGUAACCACAAGAAGGGUGUUGACUACCUUCAGAUGUACUGGUACAGGCAGCGUCCAGGGGAGAACAUUGAGCUCAUGGUUUUUACAGCAAGUGGUAUGAAGGCUGACUUAGGGAAAUUAAGUGAAGACAAAUAUGCUGCCAACAAAAAUACAGUUGAAGAUGGGUUUUUCACAGUAAAGAACGUGGAGGCAGGAGACAGCGGAGAGUAUUUCUGUGCUGUCAGCAAACACAGUGCUGCAGACCGACUCCCCAACUCCUGA